GUUAGUCAAUGGCAGUAUAUAGACAGGUUAACUGUUGUAAUCUGGACAGGUCAUGAAUGGCACACUUUUCACAUUUUUAUGUUUAGAUAAAUGUGUCUUCAGGCAAAGUUUGGGAGGAAAUGAUUCAUGUUCUUUGUACUGUGGGCUAAGUACAUGUAAAUUGACCUCGAUAUAACACCAGAUAAUGAUGCAGCACUUUCUAUGGAAGACAAUCGCCUCUUUCCACUCUCCGUUUCUUCAGUGGAGGAACUACUUUCUACAGAGGGCAGUCGACGCUUUCCUCGAUCCAAACCGAGUAAGAACCAAGGAUGUGACUUGCCGAACAUUUCUACUCUGUUACGAAUGAAUCUGUGAUAUUCC